rnacentral:rRNA from 1 species
AUUCCAGCUCCAAUAGCGUAUAUUAAAGUUGCUGCAGUUAAAAAGCUCGUAGUUGGAUUUCUGGCAGGGGGCAACAGCCCGCUUGCAACGUGUGCUUGCCGUCCCCUACCAUCCUUCUGUUAACGCGCCAGGACAUUCACUUGUCGGGCGCGGGCUCAGAUAAUUUACCUUGAGAAAAUUAGAGUGUUUCAGGCAGGCUGACGCCGGGAUACAUUAGCAUGGAAUAAUGGAAUAGGACUUUCGCCUCUUCUGUUGGUCUGAGGGGAGAUCGUAAUGAUUAAUAGGGAUAGUUGGGGGCAUUAGUACUUAACUGUCAGAGGUGAAAUUCUCGGAUUUGUUAAAGACUAACUUAUGCGAAAGCAUUUGCCAAGGAUGUUUUCAUUG